rnacentral:lncRNA from 1 species
GGAAUUAUGGGACACUCAAUAAAGAAUUACAUUACCUUCAAAAAGCUAGUUGAAAAAUUCAUCAACAUGGGUAUUGUCAAGUUGGAUGGCUCAUUUAAUACAGAAAAUUCGCUACCCAAUCAUGAUUGACAAUGGGGUGAAUGCAAUAUAUGAGGAGAUGUUGGGAAGUGUUCACAUCAAUGACAUAUAGGGAGACACAAAUGAAAG